GACGAACGCUGGCGGCGUGCUUAACACAUGCAAGUCGAACGGUGAAGGGACUGGUUUUGCUGGUCCUGGAUGAGUGGCGAACGGGUGAGUAACACGUGAGUAACCUGCCCCCUUCUUCUGGAUAACCGCAUGAAAGUGUGGCUAAUACGGGAUAUUCUGGGUCUGUCGCAUGGUGGGCCUGGGAAAGAUUGCGCCUUUUUUGGUGUUUUUGUGGGGGGUUGGGCUCGCGGCCUAUCAGCUUGUUGGUGGGGUGUUGGCCUACCAAGGCGGUGACGGGUAGCCGGCCUGAGAGGGUGGACGGUCACACUGGGACUGAGACACGGCCCAGACUCCUACGGGAGGCAGCAGUGGGGAAUAUUGCACAAUGGGCGCAAGCCUGAUGCAGCGACGCCGCGUGAGGGAUGGAGGCCUUCGGGUUGUGAACCUCUUUCGCCAGUGAAGCAGGCCUGCCUCUUUUUGUGGGUGGGUUGACGGUAGCUGGAUAAGAAGCGCCGGCUAACUACGUG
rnacentral:rRNA from 1 species